rnacentral:rRNA from 1 species
UACGUAGGGGGCGAGCGUUGUCCGGAUUUAUUGGGCGUAAAGAGCGUGUAGGCGGCCAGGUAGGUCUGCUGUGAAAACUCGAGGCUCAACCUCGAGACGUCGGCGGAAACCAUCUGGCUAGAGCCCGGAAGAGGAGAGUGGAAUUCCUGGUGUAGCGGUGAAAUGCGCAGAUAUCAGGAAGAACACCCGUGGCGAAGGCGGCUCUCUGGGACGGUACUGACGCUGAGACGCGAAAGCGUGGGGAGCGAACAGG